rnacentral:rRNA from 1 species
GGUGAACGCUGGCGGCGUGCCUUAGGCAUGCAAGUCGCGCGGCCAGCAAUGGCAGCGGCGGACGGGUGAGUAACGCGUAGGAAUGUGUCCAGAGGUGGGGGACAACCCCGGGAAACUGGGGCUAAUACCGCAUAUGUCCUGAGGGACAAAGCAGUAAUGCGCCUUUGGAGCAGCCUGCGUCCGAUUAGGUAGUUGGUGGGGUAAUGGCCUACCAAGCCUGCGAUCGGUAGCUGGUCUGAGAGGACGAUCAGCCACACUGGGACUGAGACACGGCCCAGACUCCUACGGGAGGCAGCAGUGGGGAAUAUUGGACAAUGGGGGCAACCCUGAUCCAGCAAUGCCGCGUGUGUGAAGAAGGUCUUCGGAUCGUAAAGCACUUUCGGCGGGGACGAUGAUGACGGUACCCGCAGAAGAAGCCCCGGCUAACUUCGUGCCAGCCGCCGCUGUAA